rnacentral:rRNA from 1 species
AAUGAACGCUGGCGGCAGGCCUAAUACAUGCAAGUCGAACGGACGGACAAGAAGAUUUCGUCUCUACGGUUAGCGGCUGGCGGAUGGGUGAGACAUAGAUAACAUACCUCUAAUACGUGGGGAACUUCGUGGAACCAGAUCUAAUACCACAUAACAUUUUGAACGGCAUGGUUCAAAAGAUCAACACACUUUUGCUGUCACUUAUAGAUGGAUCCGUGUUGCAUUAGCUAGUUGGUAAGGUAACGGCCUACCAAGGCAACGAUGCGUAGCCGAUCUGAGAGGGUGAUCGGCCACACUGGAACUGAGACACGGUCCAGACUCCUACGGGAGGCAGCAGUAGGGAAUAUUGGACAAUGGGCGCAAGCCUGAUCCAGCCAUACCGCGUGAGUGAAGAAGGCCUUCGGGUUGUAAAGCCCUUUUGUUGGGGAAGAAAAGCAGCGGGUGAAUACCCCGCUGUUCUGACGGUACCCAAAGAAUAAGCACCGGCUAACUUCGUG